rnacentral:rRNA from 1 species
AGACCGGAAGGACUGGUGGAGUGCUUAGAAGUGAGAAUGCCGGUAUGAGUAGCGAAAGACGGGUGAGAAUCCCGUCCACCGAAUGCCUAAGGUUUCCUGAGGAAGGCUCGUCCGCUCAGGGUUAGUCAGGACCUAAGCCGAGGCCGACAGGCGUAGGCGAUGGACAACAGGUUGAUAUUCCUGUACCACCUCUUUAUCGUUUGAGCAAUGGAGGGACGCAGAAGGAUAGAAGAAGCGUGCGAUUGGUUGUGCACGUCC